rnacentral:rRNA from 1 species
CUACGGAGGAUGCAAGCGUUAUCCGGAUUUAUUGGGUUUAAAGGGUGCGUAGGCGGUUUGCUAAGCGGGAGGUGAAAUGCCGGCGCUCAACGUCGGAAGUGCCUCCCGAACUGGUGGACUUGAAUGACUCUGCCGUGGGAGGAAUGUGUAGUGUAGCGGUGAAAUGCUUAGAGAUUACACAGAACACCGAUUGCGAAGGCAUCUCACGAAGGGUUGAUUGACGCUGAGGCACGAAAGCGUGGGGAUCAAACAGGAUUAGAUACCCUGGUAGUCCACGCAGUAAACGAUGAUGGCUAACCGCUGGGCUUAUCAGUUCAGUGGCCAAGCGAAAGCGAUAAGCCAUCCACCUGGGGAGUACGACCGCAAGGUUGAAACUCAAAUGAAUUGACGGGG